UCAAGCUACAAAGGGCGCAUGGUGAAUGCCUUGGCAUCAGGAGCCGAUGAAGGACGUGAUAAGCUGCGAUAAGCUUCGGGUAGGCGCACAUAGCCAGAGAUCCGGAGAUUUCCGAAUGAGGAAACUCACAUGGGUUAACCCCAUGUAUCAUAUAGUGAAUACAUAGCUAUAUGAGGGUAACCUAGGGAACUGAAACAUCUAAGUACCUAGAGGAAGAGAAAGAAAAAUCGAUUUUCUUAGUAGCGGCGAGCGAAAAGGAAAGAGCCCAAACCAAAGAUUUAUCUUUGGGGUUGCGGACAGAACAUUAACUUAGGAAGCUAUUGUAACCGAAGAUAACUGGAAAGUUAAACCGUAGAGUGUAAUAGUCACGUAGGUGAAACGAGAAAGCCUAAAGUUCUGAUCCAGAGUACCACGAGACACGUGAAACCUUGUGGGAAGCAGGGAGGACCACCUCCCAAGGCUAAAUACUACCUGAUGACCGAUAGUGAAGCAGUACCGUGAGGGAAAGGUGAAAAGAACCCCGGGAGGGGAGUGAAAUAGAACCUGAAACCGUGUGCCUACAACCGAUCAAAGCCCCUUAUGAGGGUGAUGAUGUGCUUUUUGUAGAACGAGCCAACGAGUUACGGUAUGUAGCAAGGUUAAGUACUUAAGGUACGGAGCCGAAGGGAAACCAAGUCUUAAUAGGGCGACUAGUUGCAUGCCGUAGACCCGAAACCGGGUGACCUAUCCAUGGCCAGGUUGAAGCGAGGGUAAAACCUCGUGGAGGACCGAACCACGUUGCUGUUGAAAAAGCAUGGGAUGAGCUGUGGAUAGCGGAGAAAUUCCAAUCGAACUCGGAGAUAGCUGGUUCUCCUCGAAAUAGCUUUAGGGCUAGCGUCGGACAUGUGAGUAGUGGAGGUAGAGCACUGAAUGGGCUAGGGGGCAUAGCGCUUACCGAACCUUAUCAAACUCCGAAUGCCACAUACUUUUAAUCCGGCAGUCAGACUGUGAGUGAUAAGAUCCAUGGUCAAAAGGGAAACAGCCCAGAUCGUCAGCUAAGGUCCCAAAGUGUAAGUUAAGUGGGAAAGGAUGUGGGAUUUCUAAGACAACUAGGAUGUUGGCUUAGAAGCAGCCACUCAUUGAAAGAGUGCGUAAUAGCUCACUAGUCGAGAGAUCCUGCGCCGAAAAUGUAACGGGGCUAAACUUACCACCGAAGCUACGGGUUCACACAAUAGUGUGAGCGGUAGAGGAGCGUUGUAAUCGGGCUGAAGUCGUACCGUAAGGAGCGGUGGACUGAUUACAAGUGAGAAUGUUGGCAUCAGUAGCGAGAUGUAGGUGAGAAUCCUACAGGCCGAAUAUCUAAGGUUUCCUCAGGAAGGUUCGUCCGCUGAGGGUUAGUCGGGACCUAAGCCGAGGCCGAAAGGCGUAGGUGAUGGACAAUCGGUUGAUAUUCCGAUACCACUAUAAUCGUUAUUAUCGAUGGUGUGACGGAGAAGGAUAGGAUGUGCUAACUAUUGGAUGUUAGUCUAAGCGUUUAGGGAGUUAGAGUAGGCAAAUCCGCUUUAACAAUCCUGAGGCGUGAUGGGGAAGGUUCCACGGAACCGAAGUAUCUGAUUCCAUGCUUCCAAGAAAAGCAUCUAGAGAGAGAAGUAGUGCCCGUACCGCAAACCGACACAGGUAGAUGAGGAGAGAAUCCUAAGGCCGGCGGAAGAAUUGCAGUUAAGGAACUAGGCAAAUUGACCCCGUAACUUCGGGAGAAGGGGUGCCUACGAGAGUAGGUCGCAGAGAAUAGGCCCAAGCAACUGUUUAGCAAAAACACAGGUCUCUGCUAAAGCGAAAGCUGAUGUAUAGGGGCUGACGCCUGCCCGGUGCUGGAAGGUUAAGGGGAACACUUAGCGCAAGCGAAGGUGUGAACUUAAGCCCCAGUAAACGGCGGCCGUAACUAUAACGGUCCUAAGGUAGCGAAAUUCCUUGUCAGGUAAGUUCUGACCCGCACGAAUGGCGUAAUGACUUGGGCACUGUCUCAACUGCAAAUCCGGCGAAGUUGUAGUGCGAGUGAAGAUGCUCGCUACCCGCGAUUGGACGGAAAGACCCCGUAGAGCUUUACUGUAGCUUAG
rnacentral:rRNA from 1 species